AGGUGUGUCUGAUUUCCCCAGGGCUUGAUUAUCUCACGAUAACCACAUCCUCUCAAGUUGAUUUGCUGCUGUGUUUUCCAAGAGCCAAACUGCAGAUUUCCAAAAGCCAAAGUGUCAGUCAAAAAUGGUAAUUUCACCUCCACUUCUUGCUCACCAUCGUUAAUGUUUCGACUGCUGAUAAUGGAGCAGUGACAGGAGCUGGAUUGUUUCCAUUGGAGAAGUUUGACUCAAUGAAGCUCGCUGCCUUUUUUGGAGGUUCCCAUUCUAUGUGCAUGGAUGAAUUUAGGGACAGGUCAUCUCUUCUGUCACCUCUGCACCACUCUGGACACAUGGAGUGCCCGGAGGCAAAAUUUGCCUCUAGUGGAGAGAACUGAGAAGAAUCUCUAUUGAGGUUGUACUAGUACCAUCCUGCAUCAGGCGUCUGUCUGCUGAGAGCCUUGCUGGGAAGCAGUGUGUUUUCUCAACUGGAAUGCACCAUGACAGACAAUGGCAAUCAGCUGGUGCUGUCCCUGCCAGAGCUACAGAACGUCCACAAAGGGACCACAGCUCUCAGUAUCCCACUCUGUAAGUCUCUGUUGAUGGUAGAAAAUGAAGAUCAUGGUCAUUUCAGAUGGCACAUACUGGCAGCUCGUGGUCCUUCCAACACAUGGGGCUUUUUAGGUCAAAGCACCUCAUUCUACAACGAGUUGAGAAUUUCUGGAGGAAAAUUUUUCAUCAUGAUUCAUCAAAACCACAGCUUUUUGCAGGAAUGUAUCCAUUUUGAUGGUGUUUCCCACAUGCAGGACAGCUCUUGGCUUUUGACAGUGAGAGACAUCUUUAACAGGCAGUCAGAAUGUUUGAAUUGGAAUACCCAAGGUCCCAAGCGACAGCUUUCACCACUAUUACAUGUCCUCGGGUGGGUCUCUUUUUCUAAAAUAUUUAUUCCUAAUACAGAGAAAAGAUGUUUUUGCAAUCUCAAGCAUUUGUGGGAUGGGAAAACUGUCAGGCAUCUUUAGAUUUUAUCCAGAACUCCUUUUUUUGCAAGGAUAUAUUUUCUGAAGCAUCACUCUUCUUGUAUUAGACAUAUUUUUAGUUAAAAGUAAAAGCAGAUGGAGGAGAUUAGUUUUUCUAUUUUUCUGAGGGAAAUAGUGAAAUCAUCAAUUUUUGUCACAAAUGGAAUUUAUGGAAAUGGCUGCAAGAAUUGACGAAUCAUUUUUUAUAAACCUGAAAUAGGAUAAGUACAAAUUUUAAGUUUCCUAGAAUAAAAUCCAUGUUUGCACGG
ensembl:lncRNA